GUGUUCGUUGAGCCGAGAGAAGGUUAGCAACCCCCUUGACAAGGAGGGGAAUUGGCUUCGGCCAUUCACACACCAUGAGGUUAAGGCUUAAGUAUGGCAAGCGUGUGUGAAGUGCAAGCAGGUUAUAUUU
rnacentral:ncRNA from 1 species